GGUAUCCUGUCUGAAUAUGGGGGGACCAUCCUCCAAGGCUAAAUACUCCUGACUGACCGAUAGUGAACCAGUACCGUGAGGGAAAGGCGAAAAGAACCCCGGCGAGGGGAGUGAAAAAGAACCUGAAACCGUGUACGUACAAGCAGUGGGAGCACAGAGCAAUCUGUGUGACUGCGUACCUUUUGUAUAAUGGGUCAGCGACUUAUAUUCUGUAGCAAGGUUAACCGAAUAGGGGAGCCGAAGGGAAACCGAGUCUUAACUGGGCGUUAAGUUGCAGGGUAUAGACCCGAAACCCGGUGAUCUAGCCAUGGGCAGGUUGAAGGUUGGGUAACACUAACUGGAGGACCGAACCGACUAAUGUUGAAAAAUUAGCGGAUGACUUGUGGCUGGGGGUGAAAGGCCAAUCAAACCGGGAGAUAGCUGGUUCUCCCCGAAAGCUAUUUAGGUAGCGCCUCGUGAAUUCAUCUCCGGGGGUAGAGCACUGUUUCGGCAAGGGGGUCAUCCCGACUUACCAACCCGAUGCAAACUGCGAAUACCGGAGAAUGUUAUCACGGGAGACACACGGCGGGUGCUAACGUCCGUCGUGAAGAGGGAAACAACCCAGACCGCCAGCUAAGGUCCCAAAGUCAUGGUUAAGUGGGAAACGAUGUGGGAAGGCCCAGACAGCCAGGAUGUUGGCUUAGAAGCAGCCAUCAUUUAAAGAAAGCGUAAUAGCUCACUGGUCGAGUCGGCCUGCGCGGAAGAUGUAACGGGGCUAAACCAUGCACCGAAGCUGCGGCAGCGACACUGUGUGUUGUUGGGUAGGGGAGCGUUCUGUAAGCCUGUGAAGGUGUGCUGUGAGGCAUGCUGGAGGUAUCAGAAGUGCGAAUGCUGACAUAAGUAACGAUAAAGCGGGUGAAAAGCCCGCUCGCCGGAAGACCAAGGGUUCCUGUCCAACGUUAAUCGGGGCAGGGUGAGUCGACCCCUAAGGCGAGGCCGAAAGGCGUAGUCGAUGGGAAACAGGUUAAUAUUCCUGUACUUGGUGUUACUGCGAAGGGGGGACGGAGAAGGCUAUGUUGGCCGGGCGACGGUUGUCCCGGUUUAAGCGUGUAGGCUGGUUUUCCAGGCAAAUCCGGAAAAUCAAGGCUGAGGCGUGAUGACGAGGCACUACGGUGCUGAAGCAACAAAUGCCCUGCUUCCAGGAAAAGCCUCUAAGCAUCAGGUAACAUCAAAUCGUACCCCAAACCGACACAGGUGGUCAGGUAGAGAAUACCAAGGCGCUUGAGAGAACUCGGGUGAAGGAACUAGGCAAAAUGGUGCCGUAACUUCGGGAGAAGGCACGCUGAUAUGUAGGUGAAGUCCCUCGCGGAUGGAGCUGAAAUCAGUCGAAGAUACCAGCUGGCUGCAACUGUUUAUUAAAAACACAGCACUGUGCAAACACGAAAGUGGACGUAUACGGUGUGACGCCUGCCCGGUGCCGGAAGGUUAAUUGAUGGGGUCAGCGCAAGCGAAGCUCUUGAUCGAAGCCCCGGUAAACGGCGGCCGUAACUAUAACGGUCCUAAGGUAGCGAAAUUCCUUGUCGGGUAAGUUCCGACCUGCACGAAUGGCGUAAUGAUGGCCAGGCUGUCUCCACCCGAGACUCAGUGAAAUUGAACUCGCUGUGAAGAUGCAGUGUACCCGCGGCAAGACGGAAAGACCCCGUGAACCUUUACUAUAGCUUGACACUGAACAUUGAGCCUUGAUGUGUAGGAUAGGUGGGAGGCUUUGAAGUGUGGACGCCAGUCUGCAUGGAGCCGACCUUGAAAUACCACCCUUUAAUGUUUGAUGUUCUAACGUGGACCCGUGAUCCGGGUUGCGGACAGUGUCUGGUGGGUAGUUUGACUGGGGCGGUCUCCUCCUAAAGAGUAACGGAGGAGCACGAAGGUUGGCUAAUCCUGGUCGGACAUCAGGAGGUUAGUGCAAUGGCAUAAGCCAGCUUGACUGCGAGCGUGACGGCGCGAGCAGGUGCGAAAGCAGGUCAUAGUGAUCCGGUGGUUCUGAAUGGAAGGGCCAUCGCUCAACGGAUAAAAGGUACUCCGGGGAUAACAGGCUGAUACCGCCCAAGAGUUCAUAUCGACGGCGGUGUUUGGCACCUCGAUGUCGGCUCAUCACAUCCUGGGGCUGAAGUAGGUCCCAAGGGUAUGGCUGUUCGCCAUUUAAAGUGGUACGCGAGCUGGGUUUAGAACGUCGUGAGACAGUUCGGUCCCUAUCUGCCGUGGGCGCUGGAGAACUGAGGGGGGCUGCUCCUAGUACGAGAGGACCGGAGUGGACGCAUCACUGGUGUUCGGGUUGUCAUGCCAAUGGCACUGCCCGGUAGCUAAAUGCGGAAGAGAUAAGUGCUGAAAGCAUCUAAGCACGAAACUUGCCCCGAGAUGAGUUCUCCCUGACCCUUUAAGGGUCCUGAAGGAACGUUGAAGACGACGACGUUGAUAGGCCGGGUGUGUAAGCGCAGCGAUGCGUUGAGCUAACCGGUACUAAUGAACCGUGAGGCUUAACCUU
rnacentral:rRNA from 1 species